rnacentral:rRNA from 1 species
CGGGAGGCAGCAGUAGGGAAUCUUCCGCAAUGGACGAAAGUCUGACGGAGCAACGCCGCGUGAGUGAUGAAGGUUUUCGGAUCGUAAAGCUCUGUUGUUAGGGAAGAACAAGUACCGUUCGAAUAGGGCGGUACCUUGACGGUACCUAACCAGAAAGCCACGGCUAACUACGUGCCAGCAGCCGCGGUAAUACGUAGGUGGCAAGCGUUGUCCGGAAUUAUUGGGCGUAAAGGGCUCGCAGGCGGUUUCUUAAGUCUGAUGUGAAAGCCCCCGGCUCAACCGGGGAGGGUCAUUGGAAACUGGGGAACUUGAGUGCAGAAGAGGAGAGUGGAAUUCCACGUGUAGCGGUGAAAUGCGUAGAGAUGUGGAGGAACACCAGUGGCGAAGGCGACUCUCUGGUCUGUAACUGACGCUGAGGAGCGAAAGCGUGGGGAGCGAACAGGAUUAGAUACCCUGGUAGUCCACGCCGUAAACGAUGAGUGCUAAGUGUUAGGGGGUUUCCGCCCUUAGUGCUGCAGCUAACGCAUUAAGCACUCCGCCUGGGGAG